AACCUCUUCCUCUCCCUGUUCUCUCUAUCUUGAGUUUUUAUUCUGCAACAAAAAUCAUCGAGCCAUAACUUUGGUGUGCUAUUCAAUCUCUCUAAUCCAGUUACCAAAAAUAUGGUUCUUCCCUCUAUUAAUUGAGCCAUAUUCCGAUUUUCUAUUUGAUCAGUUUUGAGUAUAACGGCUCGAAUUGAUUUGGUGUUAGGUUUGAUUUGGGGGUUUCUGAAUUGAAGUAUGAACUAAAAAGGAUUUAGGGUUUAUUCGACUGAGAAGACAAAAAGGAAAGAAGACUGUUGAUGGUGUUAUGGGUCUGUAAUUUAGGUUCAAUUUAAAGUUAUGGCUAAGGGGGAUUGAAACUGAGAUGCUGAAAACCUAAAACCACUUCCGCCGUCUCUUUUCUCCAUACCCUAAUUCCAUUAUCUUCUUCUCUCUAUUCUGCAUAUGCAUUAGUAAUACUUUCUUUGAUUUUGACUUUCAGAAUUUCCUCAUUGGUAUUUUUUCUUAGGUGUACCACUAAUUUUACACAGGUACUUGCACUGUAACAUAAAUAAUGAAGUGAAAGGGGGAGAGUCCCAAUUUGCAUAAAUUUCUUAGUAUUAACUUUGAAGGAAGGCCCUUUUCACUUCUCCAGAUUAAUUAUUGAUUGCAGCAAUGGGACAUGCCUAUUUGGAUUGUUGAACUCUUUAGCAUUGGAGUUGUUUGAGGCACAUAAUGCUUUUGAUAUCCCUGAUGCGACUUCAUAUACAAUGGGUCUUCAGGUGUAGCCUCUUAAGUUGUUAUUUGAAGGUCUCUUGAUCUUUUUAGUUGACAUCUUGGUAUUGGUGGAGAAAUUGCACAAGAUUUUCUAGCUCUAUGCAUAGUCAAGACUUUAGAAACUUGCUCACCAACAUCAUUGCAAUUGAUGGAAACACUUCUUAUCAUUAGCUUACUGCAUGCUGGAACUGGUGAACGGGCAUUGAUGCGGCUCCACUAAUUGCUGACAUUUUGAAUUCCUUGGGUGUACUGCCUUAUGGCACCCUUGUGCUGAUGCGUUGAUUGCGAAAUGUAGUUUUUUUAGCCUCUGAAUGGCUUCAUGUGAGAAGUACCUCUGAAUGGUGUUGAGACGCACAUGGAAUAAGGGCAUUUGGUGCUGUUGGUUUGGUGAUUGAAGUAGUAAGAAAAAGUUGGAAUUGUUUGAACUGCUACUGAGUUUAUGAUGAGUUGGUGGUGCUGAGUUGAAUUGCAGCAAGGAGGUGAUGGUUGUUUAUAGUGAAGGUUGAAAUGAUUGCAGGUGGUUUGCAAUUGCAGCAAUGAUUACAGGUGGUUUGUGCUGUAAAAGCUGGCUGCAGAUAGUUGAGUUGCAGUUGAUAGUGGUAUUGUGCUUAGAGCUGAAAUGCAGAAAAGGUUGGAUGUAUGUUGGACUGUGUUUGAAUGGAGUUGCAAGUAAAUGAGCACGGCAAGUGAUUGAAGCUGCAGUUUAGGUUGUAGUGGGUAUGUGGUGUUUGAGUUUGCAACGGAAGGAAGGGAAUGCAUUGAAAUGAGUUAUGAUAUAACUAAUGCAUAAAAGGAAAGAAGAGAAUGGCUGGUAUGGUGGAGCUAUUGUGUGCAGCUACCAUGGGACGGGGCGAGGCGAGGCGAAGCAGAGCUACACCAAAUCAAAAAUUCUAAGCAUGCAUCAGGACAGGGCAAGGCAAAGUGGUUUGCAGGUCCGUCCGGUGCGCAGCACGGUCACAAAAUCUAGUUUCAAUUAUAAAGAUAAACAAUAUAAUACGGAAAUAUAAAUAACACAGACACCAGAAUCUUGUUAACGAGGAAA